GACGAACCGUGCGAACGUUGUUCGGAAUCACUGGGCUUAAAGGGCGCGUAGGCGGGUUCCCAAGUCGGGGGGUGAAAUCUUUCGGCCCAACCGGAAAAGGGCCUCCGAUACUGGGAACCUCGAGGGGGGUAGGGGUCGGCGGAACUUCCGGUGGAGCGGUGAAAUGCGUAGAUAUCGGAAGGAACGCCGGUGGCGAAAGCGGCCGACUGGACCUCACUUGACGCUGAGGCGCGAAAGCCAGGGGAGCGAACGGG
rnacentral:rRNA from 1 species